rnacentral:rRNA from 1 species
AUUAUUGGGCGUAAAGGGCUCGCAGGCGGUUUCUUAAGUCUGAUGUGAAAGCCCCCGGCUCAACCGGGGAGGGUCAUUGGAAACUGGGGAACUUGAGUGCAGAAGAGGAGAGUGGAAUUCCACGUGUAGCGGUGAAAUGCGUAGAGAUGUGGAGGAACACCAGUGGCGAAGGCGACUCUCUGGUCUGUAACUGACGCUGAGGAGCGAAAGCGUGGGGAGCGAACAGGAUUAGAUACCCUGGUAGUCCACGCCGUAAACGAUGAUUGCUAAGUGUUAGGGGGUUUCCGCCCCUUAGUGCUGCAGCUAACGCAUUAAGCACUCCGCCUGGGGAGUACGGUCGCAAGACUGAAACUCAAAGGAAUUGACGGGGGCCCGCACAAGCGGUGGAGCAUGUGGUUUAAUUCGAAGCAACGCGAAGAACCUUACCAGGUCUUGACAUCUUCUGACAAUCCUAGAGAUAGGACGUCCCCUUCGGGGGCAGAGUGACAGGUGGUGCAUGGUUGUCGUCAGCUCGUGUCGUGAGAUGUUGGGUUAAGUCCCGCAACGAGCGCAACCCUUGAUCUUAGUUGCCAGCAUUCAGUUGGGCACUCUAAGGUGACUGCCGGUGACAAACCGGAGGAAGGUGGGGAUGACGUCAAAUCAUCAUGCCCCUUAUGACCUGGGCUACACACGUGCUACAAUGGACAGAACAAAGGGCAGCGAAACCGCGAGGUUAAGCCAAUCCCACAAAUCUGUUCUCAGUUCGGAUCGCAGUCUGCAACUCGACUGCGUGAAGCUGGAAUCGCUAGUAAUCGCGGAUCAGCAUGCCGCG